CAAUAGCGUAUAUUAAAGUUGUUGCAGUUAAAAAGCUCGUAGUUGGAUUUCGGGGCAGCCUGGCUGGUCCGCCGCAAGGCGAGUACUGGUCAGCCGCCCUUCCUCUCGAAAGCCCCGACUGCUCUUUAUUGCAGUGGUCGGGUAGUUCGGGACGUUUACUUUGAAAAAAUUAGAGUGUUCAAGGCAGGCCUACGCCUGAAUACAUUAGCAUGGAAUAAUGGAAGAGGACCUCGGUCCUAUUUUGUUGGUUUCCAGGACCGAAGUAAUGAUUAAGAGGGACAGUUGGGGACAUUCGUAUUUAAUUGUCAGAGGUGAAAUUCUCGGAUUUAUGAAAGACGAACAACUGCGAAAGCAUUUGCCAAGGAUGUUUUCAUUAA
rnacentral:rRNA from 1 species